UACCCGGAGGAAAGGACAGCAAUAGCGACUCCCCUAGUAGUGGCGAGCGAACGGGGACCAGGCCAGUGCUGGUCUUGACUGAACCGGAACCGUCUGGAAAGGCGGGCCAUAGCGGGUGACAGCCCCGUAUGGGAAGCGUGAUCGGACGUAUCAAGUAGGGCGGGACACGUGAAAUCCUGUCUGAACAUGGGGGGACCAUCCUCCAAGCCUAAGUACUCCUACAUGACCGAUAGUGAACCAGUACCGUGAGGGAAAGGUGAAAAGCACCCCGACGAGGGGAGUGAAACAGUACCUG
rnacentral:rRNA from 13 species